rnacentral:misc_RNA from 1 species
AACGCACCUUGCGCUCCUUGGUAUUCCUUGGAGCAUGCCUGUUUGAGUGUCUUGAAUAUCUCUGCUCUUUUAUUUUUUUUAACGAAAGAUAAAACGAGUCAGGUCCUUGGGUCUGCUUGCGGUUUGUUACGAACACAAGCUUACCUUAAAUGAAUUAGCUGGAUUUCAGUAGAGUUGUUAAGUAACAUUGAAAACUCUCGUAAUAGGAAAUCUGCUUUCUAAUCAGACUAGUCUUUGUUGACUAUCUAAUAAUUUUUCAAUUUUGGCCUCAAAUCAGGUAGGACUACCCGCUGAACUUAA